UCAGAAGGCAGACACCCUAAGUUUCCUGGGCUGAGAGGGCAGCUUAAGGGAGUUGUGGGACAAUGUGAAAUGUAACAAUAAAUAGCAGAUGUGCCAGAAGAGGCAAAAAGGGAGAAAGGCAUAGGGAAAGUGUUUGAAGAAAUAGUGGUAGAAAACUUCCCUAACCUGAUAAA